CUUCCUAAAACAACCUAAGAGCUCUAAGCUGGGGAGGCAACGGCAAGGAGCAGUGAUCACACACUCUGGGGGGAGAGUUUGGGAAGACGGGUGUGAUCACAUUCUCAUUUAGUCAAGUUUCUUUUCUUUGCCAGUGAAAGAAGCUCAACUCAAAACCAGCUCAGGCAGAAAGGAACUUAAUUAGCUUCCAUAAUCAAACCACAGGCCAGGCUAGGAUCAGGUGGCCCUCCAGGUCCCCAGGAGCCAGGGACUCAACCAUCAAACUGUCCCUGUCCCCUCUCCGUGUCAGCACAUUUCUCUGCCUGCCAGCCCCCCUCUCUCAGGCCCGUGUCGCCCACACUCCGGCACUCCUGGCUGCCAGUGUUUCGCAUCGCUCAUGUUCAUGACCACAGAGAGACUGAGUGUCCUCGUCUGUGAAAUGGGGACAAUAACAGCACCAGCCUCAGAGUGUUGUGGGGGUCAAAAGCGAUGACACCUGUAAAAUGCUUAGCCCAGACCCCGACACAUAGUAAGUGCUCCAUAAAUGUCAGCUAUGAGCUUCCCCUGUUCCCAAGUCCAGAAAUCGAGAGAAAGGCUCCCACUGCCCAGCCUGAGUCGAAGCUCACACCUGGACAAUCACUGAUGGCCAGUAAGGUGGGUUAUGUAAUAAGAAGGUGAAUCCCUUUCAAAGAAAAUAGGCUGGAGUGCAGAAUGCUUGCCAGGAGGGCUGACACUGUUCUAACUGAAGAAAACAAUUGAGAAUGUGUCCUGCCAUCCCAACAGCCUGGAUGUGGGGACAAUCCCUAAGAGACAGCGCGGUUGUCCAGGUGAGGAGUGAUGCAGGCUGAGGUAAAUGACAGUGCGCAGGGAGAGGAAGUUGAUCCAGGAGAAGUUUCGGAGGUAAAAAUAGGGGGUCCAGCGCCAACCUCACAGGAGAGAUUAGAGAGAAUGAAAGGUCAAUAAUGGCCCCAGAUGCUGGCCAGAAACGGCUACAAACAGAGCCUCGCCGAAAGGUCACUUUUUUAUUACUCAGCCCACCACCACCACCACCCCGUUCUGUUCGGUAGCACAAACUUAAUCUUUGUCAGUUCAAGGUAAACACAGUCACAGCUGAACUUUUCCUAAGUCUCUCUUAAAUCGAUUCUUGGUCCACUUCCAGCACCUCUGUGUCCCACUGCUCCUUCCCUUCUCCCUGCGGGUGGUCCAUGUUCUGGGAGCUCCUGUUUUGCCCUGGCACCAGGGCCGGGGUUGUGCAUCUGAUCCGGGGUUGCCAGCAUCUGUCCCCUGCCAUCCACUGAACCAAGGCAUCCCUGUUGAGUGCCUGACCACAAGGCAUUUCCAAGUCCAUCGGCUCCAUUCCCCCACUUCUCUACACGCUCACCGUCGCCACCAUGUUAUGAGGGCACACAGGACCCUGGAGGACACCCUCAGGCCAUCGUCAGGCACCUUCUCCCACCAGGGCUCCUCCACCUCUCCAGCCCGUGCCAGGAGGUCUUGGUCUCCCAGGAGGAGCCAGGCAACAGUCCCCUCUGCUCUAGGACACCUCACAUUUCCUUUGGGAGAUCUAAUAUCUACUGUUAGUUACAUCUCCAUGUGAUUCCCUUCCUCCCAUUAGCUGGUCAGACUUAUUUCCUUUUAGGCAGAAAGACAGCUUCUGUGUUCUUCCCUGUUUACUGUUCAUGGCAUCAGUUUCAAGCUCUGAGUCCCUCCGGUUCUUUUCUUUUUACAAAAGCCCAGCUACCGCGACCCAACACCCUGUCUCUGCUGCAGGUUUCAAGAGACUAUUUGAAACUACUGGCUGUCUUCUCACUGCCUUCAAGCCAUAACCCCCAAAGCCUCCCAUACAGCUCUGACUGGAUCAGGAGAGAGUGACCACAGGAGCUGGUCUCCAAAGAGGGCCACCACCAAUUUCUGCUCUCCCUGUACAGACAUACUGCUUGCCACAUAAGGAGGAGGAGAGUAAUUCCCCUCCCUGUGAACCUAGGCUGGCCUUCGUGACUUUGGUGGCCUAUAGAAUGUAGCAGAAGGGACAUUCUGGGAGUUGUGAGACUAGAUCAUAAGAAGCUUGCAGCUUCUGCCCUGGCCUCUUGAGAUCCUUGGCCUUGGAACACUUCCUCUUGUGACCCAGCUGCCAUGCUGUGAGGAGUCCAGCCCGUGCGGUGAUCCCCAGGUGGGCUUCCUGGUGCAUAGCCUCGGCGAGCCCCAACUGACUGUCAGCAGUGAAGGAGCCUUCUGGGACACGAAGGCCAGCUGAGCCUUCAGAUGACCCAACCCCCUGCUGCCGUCUAACUGCAGCUGCAUGAGAGACUUUAAGCAAGAACCACCCAGUUGAGUUCUGUCAACCCAUCAGAACCAUGAGAAAUAAAAUUCUGUUUUUAAACCA